UAGGGCUCGGAUGUUCUAGACUCCCACAGAGAUCUGGUCGGCUGCAUUACACGCAGCUGUUUAUCACUGAAAGCCAAACUGCAAAUCUGGCCAUUGAAUAACAAGAAAAACCUUGCCUCAUCGCCAUCCCAGCAACUCUCACUGUCCGGGAGACGGAGGGGGAGCCAGGCCCUGAACGGCAGGGCGCGGACGCGGGGGGACAACCCCGGGCUCUGGCCGCGGCCUGCCCCCCAACCCCGCGCGCGGAGGAAGGAGCCGCUUUACAGUCCAAAUCCGGCCCAGGCGGGCUCCGGCUGAAGAGCGGCUUAGGCCGGAGCUCGCCGCGGGGUGGAGUUGCUCUGCGGCUCGGGCCCCGCUCAGCGCCCCGUGGCCGGCGGAGGGGCUCGGCGUUUCCUUCGCCAGCCUGGGGCAGCUGCAGUAAUCCUUGCAAUCUGGCCCAGGGUCCAACGCCCGGCCAAGGCUGAACAGGAACUGCGCUGCCAUAUAUGGCCCUUCCUCCGCUCCUAAUAUGGUGCUUCCUAGGCCCAAACAAGGCGUUUCCUUCCCGGCGGUCGGGCAGCCGGGCUCGGCCCCGAAUCUCGAGCUGCGCCCAGACGGCCCCGCCUUAGGAACAGCGGGAGGAGGAUUACACCACUUCCCCAGUGUGGCCCAGAGCUUGGAUAGAAUCACCUCAUGGAUGAAGAGCAGCUGGUAGAAGCUGAAUCAGAGCAAGAAAGAGGUGAUAAUGGUGGAUAGAAGAAAGCAUUUAGAAGAGUUUGCAGCCAUGGUGCAGUCCUCUUUGUUUGAAGCUAACCACGAGUGGAUGGAUGAUAUGGUGCUG